CCCACCUGCAAGACCCCUAUAUAAGCUUCCAGCUCAGCCCAUGCAGUUGCUGGUCUCCAUUCUGUCAGUCAGCCCAGCAGGCUGCAGACUGCCGCCCCAAUAAAGCUUGCCUGAACGUCCAUGUGUGCCCCCCUUCUUCAGUGACCCUUACAUUCUGGUGCCAAAACCCAGGAGGCAGCGCUAUUGGGACCUGUGGGCUCACCCCACUGGGGUCCAGAACUGCACUCCCGAUGGCCCCUUCCCGGGCCUGCAGUUGCCGAACUGGGGCACACACCUCUGGGGCUUUCAGUCCUUUGCCAUUGCUGAUGCUGCAUCCAACACCAGCCUGAUUCUCUCAACAGUGUGGGAGGCCAGUCCCCUCCUCCCCUUCCCAUGAGGGAAUCUGGUCCGUCUCUGCCUGACCUGUUGGGCCUAGCCUCAGAAGAGUGACGUUGCCCUGGGAUGUUGGCCCCUUCGCCCAUCACAUCAAAGGAGCCCAGGGUAACUAUCCACAUGGCAGGACCUACCCGGCUUAAACUGACCAGGAUUACAGAACAUCCUUCCCCCCACUGCUGAAACCUCACAAUAGGCUGUCAUACAUGAGGCUAAAUUUGGCCAUCAUGACCAUCGUUGCCGCUCCUAAAGAACUGGCACUCUGGGAGUUCCAUGUCCACCAAAAAUGGCAAUGUCUCUGAAAGCAUGGCUGACUGGGGCGUCACAGAGGCUCCCGUGCUGUGCCAACUUCCCAGCCAGCCCCCACUCCCCAAAAAAACUUCGUCCCUGAUCAGCAGGAAGUAGAUAUGAAAGAAGAUACCGCUGCCCCAAUUUCAUAACAAAAUAAAGGCUGGGAUGUUAGGUAUUUCAGACCCCCCACAGAGCAAGCCCCCUCCCCUGCCUUCCCCUUGCCCUACUCCGGCCACAGGGAACAGGGAACUUCCGCAUAACUAAGGCUUGACCUACCUUUGUUUGUGACUCCCUGCCUAGUUAAGGUCUUUCUGCCCCACUGGUUUCAUGGUCAGAUGUUCCAGUAAGAUAGGGGCUUCCCAAAAGCAGUGACUCCAUCCUCCCUGACCGAAACCUGCUGCUACAUACCCCAGCCCCAGUCACCCACCCCCACCAAUGGACUGGUGCUCUCCCACCUGCAAGACCCCUAUAUAAGCUUCCAGCUCAGCCCAUGCAGUUGCUGGUCUCCAUUCUGUGAGUCAGCCCAGCAGGCUGCAGACUGCCGCCCCAAUACAGCUUGCUUGAACGUCCGUGUGUGCCCCCCUUCUUUGGCAACCCUUUUACCUAAUGCUUACACAAAAAAGGUAACCUGAUGUUGACCAAUCAGUUAUUUUCCCAUUGUUGUCUCUCUGUCCCUAAUUUGCAAGAAAAGAUCUUUGAAGUGAG
rnacentral:lncRNA from 1 species